AUGCAGUACUUAAUGGAGAAAAUGUCCUCGUCGGAUGCACCGCCUAUGUGUUUCGAUAUGUUAAAAACAAUCACAGAUGAUUUUUCGGAAAACAUGAAAAUUGGUAUUGGUGGCUAUGGAGAAGUUUACAAGGGAUUACUUAAUGGAGAAGAAAUAGCUGUGAAGAAGCUUUUUCCCAUCCAUGGAAUUGAUGAUGAGGCAUUGGAAAAUGAAUUUCGUAACCUCAAGAAGGUUCGGCAUAAAAAUGUCAUACGGAUGAUUGGUUACUGCUAUGAGAUAUCAUGUAGAGAUGUGGAAUACAAGGGACAAUUAAUUUGGUCUCAAGUAAUAGAAAGGGCACUCUGCUUUGAAUAUAUGAAGGGAGGAAGCCUUGCCAAGCAUAUUUCUGACGACUCAUGCAUACAUGAUUGGCGGACAACCUACAAAAUAAUCACUGGGACUUGCGAGGGCCUGCACCACCUUCACAAAGGAGGAGAACGUAAGCUUUUCCAUCUGGACCUAAAGCUGGAAAAUGUAUUGCUGGAUGAAGAAUUGGUACCCAAAAUAGGAGAUUUUGGUUUACCCCAGCUCUUUGGUAGUUCAUAUACCCACCAAAUAAGCUUUAUGAGGAGAACAAUUGGGUUCAUGCCACAAGAAUACAAAGACAGUCGUGGGGUGUCACCAAAGACUGACGUGUUCAGUCUCGGAGUCAUAAUUUUCCACAUGAUGGCUGGGAAAAAGGGCUAUGACGAUUAUUGGGACGCGCGUCAUCGUCCGAAUUUUUCCCCAAAAAUUCAACAAGAGUUUAUUGAGAGUGUACAAGAAUAUUGGAAGACAAAUAUGCAGACAUCCCAAGGUUAUAGAUGGGACAGAACAGACCUGCUAGGAGUAACGACAUGUAUUCAAUUGGCAAUGCAAUGUGUGGAGGAUGAACGAGACAAAAGACCUUACGUAAGAGAAAUCAUGGGUGAGCUCAAGGAACUAGAUUCUAAGAUGGAGCAGAUGUUAAAGGAAGAUCCGAAACCACCUAUACACAAGCUGUUUUACCAAGGGCUUGCUGAAGCUGAAAGCAUGCAUGCUACUGAGCUGAGGGCAAUGACGUUCGAGGAACUCCAUCGCAUGACAGAUGGUUUCUCUGAAAAGCAAUUACUUGGCACGGGUGGGUAUGGAAGGGUUUACAAGGGAGUACUUGAUAACGGGGAAGUGAUUGCCGUGAAGAAACUGUACAACCAGCCCGGACUAGUCGAAGCUGGUUUUAAGAAUGAGCUUCUGAAUCUUAUGAGGGCCCAACAUCAAAAUAUCAUAAGAUUGGUUGGCUACUGCUAUGAAAUACGAGAUAAAGUUGUUGAGUACCAAGGGAGAUUUGUUGUUGCUGACGAGCAAGAAAUAGCUCUAUGUUUGGAAUACAUGCAGGGUGGAACCCUUGAGGAGCUUCUUUCCGAUGAAUUAAUAAGUUGGGAGGCACGUUACAGAAUAAUUAAAGGGAUAUGUCAGGGUUUAAAGCAUCUUCACACGGGAUCCAAAGAUCCUAUUUACCAUCUGGACUUAAAACCUGCAAACAUAUUGCUGGAUAAGGACCUGAUACCAAAAAUUGGAGAUUUUGGCUUGUCAAGACUUCUUGGUUCAAUGGGAACAUUUGUCACAAAAACAAAUUCAGGAACACGUAUAUACAUGCCACCAGAGUACACGUACGGGCUACAAAUCUCCUCGAAGUUUGAUGUGUUCAGCCUGGGUAUUAUAAUCAUACAAGUAAUAGCAGGAGCAGAGGGCUACUACAAUUUCAAAUGUGUAUAUAAGUCUCCCAAGGAAUUCGUUGAACAUGUUACCGGAAACUGGUCCAGCCGGGUGCAGGCAAAUGCAAUGUCGACGGAAGCAUUACUGGAGGUUCAGAAAUGCAUCGAGAUGGCGUUAAGAUGUGUGGAGGACGAUCGAGCAAAGAGGCCCAGUAUAACCGAGAUUGUCGAAGAACUCAAUAUGACUUAG
rnacentral:rRNA from 1 species